AAAAGACUCCUGAAGAAAAAGAAAAAGAAAUCUGAAUUAACUGGUUUAACCCACCAAAUCAGGUUAACUAGUCAAACCUGAGAUUCGUGUCAUGUGAGUCUGAUAACUAAAUAGAAAUAAAUUAAUAUUAAUGAAAUAAAUUAAACAAAAAAAAUAAUUAAAAA